UACGAAGGGGGCUAGCGUUGUUCGGAAUUACUGGGCGUAAAGCGUGCGCAGGCGGCUUCUCAAGUCAGGGGUGAAAGCCCAGAGCUCAACUCUGGAAUUGCCUUUGAGACUGAGUGGCUUGAGUACGGGAGAGGUGAGUGGAAUUCCCAGUGUAGAGGUGAAAUGCGUAGAGAUCGGGAAGAACAUCAGUGGCGAAGGCGGCCUGCUGGGCUGUUGCUGACGCUGAGGCGCGACAGCGUGGGGAGCAAACAGG
rnacentral:rRNA from 1 species